AGCGCGGCCCCCGCCCGGUGCUGGGCGCCUCCCCCCGCCCGGGGAACGCGGACGAGAUCGGCACCUCGGCGCGUCGGCCUGCUCCUCGCAGCGCUUCACGCUCGGCUCCCUGAAAAAGCAGAGAGGGCUGUCCCAAGAUCUUCAGAAAGUACAGAGCUCACUGGCUGCCCGCGGGAUGGGGCCUUACACAGCUUUGCCGUGGGAAGCAGGAGGCUGAGAUCAGACAGCUGAACGUACAUGUACGGCCCAGACCCACCUGUGCUCCUCAUAACACAUGUAGCUCAAUUAGAAAUACUAGGGAAAUCUAUGUCUUAGGACAUAACUUAGUACACACAAAAAAAAUUCUUCCAACAGAGGUAUUAAGAAGCUUGUUCUCUUAAAGAGAAAAAGGGCUGCACCAUUUGUAGCCCAGCUCUCACCUGAGCACCUUGUUACACUGUGGAAUGGUAGCAGUAAGCCAAAACCCAGCAUGAGGGCAUGGCAUCCAGGCUGCAGCAGGGGCAGGGGUGACUCGGGUGGGAAAGUAACACUCCUCAGUCACCAUUAUUGCUUUUUCACACCUAAGCCAUCUGCAGAGCUCUUCUCUGCGUCAGCUCAUCACAGCAGCCACACAUCGGUGCUUUGUGUUUCUCAAUCUCCAAACUAUUAUGUGUGUCUUUUUCGUAGCUGACACAGUUACAGCCUCAAAUCCUCUCCUCUGAUAAAACAGUGCUUACAUAAUUGAAUUUUAAAUAUCCAAACGACUUUUUAAAAACAA